rnacentral:rRNA from 1 species
UACAGAGGGGGCAAGCGUUAUUCGGAAUUAUUGGGCGUAAAGGGCGCGUAGGCGGCUUUGCAAGUGACGGGUGAAAUCCCUCGGCUUAACCGAGGAACUGCCUGUCAAACUGUAUGGCUUGAGACCGGGAGAGGUGAGUGGAAUUCCCAGUGUAGCGGUGAAAUGCGUAGAUAUUGGGAGGAACACCAGUGGCGAAGGCGGCUCACUGGACCGGUACUGACGCUGAUGCGCGAAAGCGUGGGGAGCAAACAGGG